rnacentral:rRNA from 2 species
UAUUUAGGUAGCGCCUCGUGAACUCAUCUCCGGGGGUAGAGCACUGUUUCGGCUAGGGGGCCAUCCCGGCUUACCAACCCGAUGCAAACUGCGAAUACCGGAGAAUGUUAUCACGGGAGACACACGGCGGGUGCUAACGUCCGUCGUGAAGAGGGAAACAACCCAGACCGCCAGCUAAGGUCCCAAAGUCAUGGUUAAGUGGGAAACGAUGUGGGAAGGCCCAGACAGCCAGGAUGUUGGCUUAGAAGCAGCCAUCAUUUAAAGAAAGCGUAAUAGCUCACUGGUCGAGUCGGCCUGCGCGGAAGAUGUAACGGGGCUAAACCAUG